rnacentral:rRNA from 1 species
CGCCUCUUGAAACUACAUAAGAGGUCCAGCCUGCCCAGUGAACUAAUUCAACGGCCGCGGUAUCCUAACCGUGCGAAGGUAGCGUAAUCACUUGUUCUUUAAAUAAGGACUAGUAUGAAUGGCACCACGAGGGUUAUACUGUCUCCUUUUUUAAAUCAGUAAAACUAAUCUCCCCGUGAAGAAGCGAGGAUAAUUUUAUAAGACGAGAAGACCCUAUGGAGCUUUAAACAAACAACACUUGCUACAAACCCUUAUUAUAAAGUUUAGCAUUAUGAUUAUAAUGUUUUCGAUUGGGGUGAUCACGGAGCAAAAAACAACCUCCACGUUGAAUAGGACUUUCGACCCUGAGCAAUAAGCCACAGCUUUAUGCACUAAAAAAUUAACAUGCAUUGACCCAUAAUCUUGAUCAACGAACCAAGUUACCCUAGGGAUAACAGCGCAAUCUGUUUCAAGAGCUCCUAUCGACAAGCAGGUUUACGACCUCGAUGUUGGAUCAGGGUAUCCAAGUGGUGCAGCCGCUACUAACGGUUCGUUUGUUCAACGAUUAAAACCCU